GUAGCGCCCAUAAAUAAGAGGAACUUUGGGGAGCAUAAUAUAUUUCCUCCACCCGUCCUGCCUUUCAUUUGGUGGAACUCCAGGCUGCAGAACUUGAUGCACUACCGCCUCUUUUAUACCUUCCUCUUAUUGUCCCUAUCAAAGUCCUGCUGUUUCUUCCUUCUAGACUUUGACCGUAGACCCUUACUGGCGUCUGGCCCCAACCUCCCUCUCUCACCUCCUGUUUAAAUCUUCCGGGCAAGGCGUUGCACACCCCGCACGGAUAUUACCUUGUGAUUUCCCUCCGCUUGAAAUGUCCUCCUUUACUGGGCCCUUCUCUCCUCCCCUAUUAUGGCCUUAUUUUAGCUUCAAAUAAUCCCAGGGCCUGAAGUUCAACUAGCCUAAUUGCAUAUCCAUAGACACUACAUUCUACAAGGAAGUCAUCAUGUAUUAAAUUAUGUGAAGUAUUUUUAGAAAUAUUUUCAUGCAGUGAGCAGUUAUUGAGUACCUACGGUGUACCAGGUUUUCACAUCUGCUCUGAAACCCAGAUGAAAAGAUAGUCCCCACUCUCAUGGCCUUCAUCACCUAGUCUGUUAGGUCCCUACUGUGUGCAUGAAGCUUGGGAAAUGCUUUUCCUAAGGGUAUUUUUUGUACUACUCAGUGCCCUCAAUCCCUGGUUGGCAAAGGAGCUCCUGUGAAAGCUCAUCCCUGACUAAGAGCAGACAUCCUGGGGAGUGUAUGUGGAGUGAAACUGAGAAGCCAAGUAAACAGUCCUGAUGACCUGACUAGAUUCAAAGAAAGAGCUUGGAGAACCUUGGAAGAAUCACUCACCAUGGCACUCACACUUUAAGCCAAGACAGUAGUACAUUCUUCACUGAAUGGUGAUCAGUGAUUGUGAUGGUGAAAGCAUGUGUCAAAAUGAAGCUCAUGUCAGCCUGCAUCCCUAAGUUAGCAAAAUACUCCCGGGCCUCCUGCCAAACCACAGAGAACAGCUCAGAACAAGUGAUCCAGGGAAAAAAAUCUUAAGGUAAUUGCAACUUUGCAGGAGGAUGGCUGAGUUUCUUGCAAUAUCGCCCAAGAGCCGUAGGGGUCCUCAGCACUUAGGCUGAGAUAUACUUUUCUGGUCUCCAGGGAUGCUUGGAAGUCUGCUUUCCCGUAUGGACAGCCCCUCCUGGUGGCAAGACCUAUAAUAAAGCAUUGCCAGUUGAAAGGCUUCUGGUAGUUUUCGUUGUGGUUCAUUCAGCCAUUGGAGGGAUGUCAGUGAAACUUACAGUUCUAUUGCUGGAGUUGAAUUUCCUAAUUGUUUCCCCUUCC